ensembl:lncRNA
GUUCUCGAUAAAGUGCCUUAAGUAACACUUUCCUUCGGCGUUUGUCCUCUCAUCGAACUCAGCAGAGCUCCCGGAGUCACUUCGCUCCCACCUAAAAGUGCACUCACACUUUCGGAAAGGCCGCCGGUGUAAGAAGGGCGCUUUUAUUCCUUUGCUCGCGGCGGGAGCUGCAGCAGAGCACGGGCUGCGCGAGGGGCACACGAGGCUCCGGUGCGAAGGGACUCCGGGCACUGCUGGCCCUGCAGCAGGUGGAUGAGUGACAGCCUUUGUUUAAUGCCACCUACAGCAGGAGGAGCUGCUGCAUGGCUGAGAGCCCCCGGGAGAGGCACCUGGGAAGGGGACACAAUAACAAUGCCCUUAGGCAGGAG